GAUGAACGCUGGCGGCGUGCCUAAUACAUGCAAGUCGAGCGAACAGACGAUGCGCUUGCUCCUCUGACGUUAGCGGCGGACGGGUGAGUAACACGUGGAUACCCUACCUAUAUGACUGGUAUAACCUCGGGAAACCGGAUCUUACCCCGUAUAAUAUAUUGAACCGUAUUGUUCAUUAGUAAAAUUCGGUUUUUCUGUCUCUACUCGCUGCAUCUCGGCCGCAUUAGCUAGUUGUUACGUUAACGGCCUACCAAGGCAACGAUGCGUAGCCGAAGUAACAGGGUGAUCGGCGACACUGGAACUGAGACACGGUCCAGGCUCCUACGAGAGGCAGCAGUAGGGAAUCUUACGCAAUGGGCGAAAACAUGACGGAGCAACGCCGCGUGAGAGAUGACGGUGUUCGGAUCGUAAAACUCUGUUAUGAGGGGAAAACAAAUGUGGAAGUAAAUAUGCACGUCUUGACGGUACCUAGUCAGGAAGCAACGGCUAACUACGUG
rnacentral:rRNA from 1 species